GCCUGGCUACAGUGCUGAAAAGAAACCUGGGGUUGUUCUUAUUUCUUCAAUUAGUGAUGAGUAGAAAGAAGUGUCCUAGCUAUAUAAAUGAAAUAAAGUUGAAAGUUGAGAACUGGGUUUGGGAUUUGUCUACACCACCACAAUUGGAUGGAGAUUCCAAUUUUAUGCCUGUUUGUCUAUCUUCCAGUUAUAUCAGUCGGAAACCAAGUGCCAAAAAGCAUUGAGAAAUUGGUGCAUAGCAGAGAUAACCAAUGUUGUGUGAAACUAUCUGAAAAAGAAUGAGAAACCGAAAAGUUGAAAAAAACCUGACAACACGCGACAAAAAAGCUUUGAUUCAAGUGCAUGAACUAAGUACAAUGCUCCUGAUAUUUGGUCACAUCUAUUAGCUUAUGAAAAGCCACUCUGAACCAGGACUAUGACCUUGAAAUUUUUUUUUUUCCAAAUAAAACUUUACAUCAUGUGUUGAUGGUUGUAGCUUCAGUCUCUCAGCUGCACACCUGCCUUGACAUGUUUGAUUUCCUUAUAGGGACAUAUGGGGGACUGUCCCCGGAAGUAGAAAAAACUCCAUCAUAUGUUCAAUUAUGACAGUUGUAUUAAUGCAAGUGGGUGUAACCUUGUUAUAUGCAUUUUUGCUUUGAGCUCUGUGAACAAUCACAAAUUAUUAACAGAUAAACAUUGUGUUUUGCCCCUAGUCUUCUGACGAUGGUGAUACCAUGAGCUUGGAUGACCUAAAUGCAAGAUUCCUCGUGGCCAGAGGGGCACAGCUUCUGCAACACUUGCAACACUUGCAACAACAGCAGCAGUGUUUGCCACAGCAACGGAAGACCGAGGACUUGUAGACCUGGAGGAAAACGACAGUAGAAGCAACAGGGUUGCUGUACCUGCGUUGCUCAUCAAACACCACCAUGAAAGGAGAUGUGCUGACCAUCAGACAGCAUGGAGUUGAGCAACUUGACGAUGAGGAUGAGGCAGGUACAGAGCACAAGUAGAGACAGAGCAAGAAGAAUGAGGCCAACUGCCAGAUCUGGCAGUGUGGUGUAGGCAAAGAUCGCCGUUAAAGAUGAGAUCUUUGAAUAUGGGAAAGCCCACCUCGACAAUGGAAUCUGUGAGAGGGUCUGUGAUGAUGUUGAGCAGAUCGGGCGCAUCUUCUCCUGUCUCAAGAUUGAAGGACUCGAUGAUGAGAGGAGACCAUGCUGACCACAAUGGAGGAGGAGGUGCUGGAGCUCUGCACCAGCACCGUGACUAACACCCCGAUCACCAGUCCAGCCACAGGGUUGGACAACACAGCAUUGUCCUGAAAGAUG